GCGAGCCUGGCAGCCUGCAGGUGUCUCCCGGCGGAGGAGGCUGCGGAGCCCCUCGGGAGGAUGAUGUGCGGUGGCCGAGCAGAUGUUCACUCGCCUCUGGGGCUCCUCGGCAGGCAGAGCCGCUCCGCUGCCCUCAGCGCGCUGAAGCUCCGCGGCUGCGAGGGAUCGGCCCCGCUGCCGCGCCGGCAGCUGCUCCUCUAACCAACAAAGGCAGGGUUUCAAGUCAAGGGGAAGAAUGGGAGUCUGGCUGCAGAGCUUCCUUCACCGCUUCAGCAGCAGAUUGGAAGAAGCUGAGAGUUUUGAUGCCUGGACAACUGGAUUCUGAAUCGUGAGAGGCUUUGAAACCCACCCCCCCCUCCCAAAUAAAACAAACCCCUUUGACUUCUUCUCUCAGCAGGAGGGGGAGGGAGGGCGGAUUUACCAUGAAGACAAAUCGAAGAUGCAGAGCCCUGCUAGCAGUGAGUCUGAAUCUGAUGGCUCUCCUCUUCUCUACAACAGCUUUUAUCACGACCCACUGGUGUGAGGGCACACAGAGGGUCCCCAAGCCGAGCUGUGGGAAAGAGAAGAAGACAAACUGCCUCAACUACGGCGGGAAUGAGACUGCAAAUGAGACGAACCAGAAUGUGGUUCAUUACAGCUGGGAGACGGGAGAUGACCGCUUCCUUUUCAGGUAUUUCCACACUGGGAUCUGGUACUCCUGUGAGGAAAAUAUCAAUGCUGCUGGUGAAAAAUGUCGAAGUUUUAUUGACCUUGCCCCGGCUUCUGAAAAAGGUGUGCUGUGGCUCUCAGUGGUGUCCGAGGUGUUGUACAUCAUGCUGUUGGUCGUCGGGUUCAGCCUCAUGUGCCUCGAGCUCUUUCAUUCAAGCAGUGUCAUAGAUGGGCUCAAGUUAAAUGCCUUUGCUGCUGUCUUCACUGUGCUUUCAGGUCUCUUGGGGAUGGUGGCACACAUGAUGUACACUCAAGUUUUCCAAGUGACAGUCAGCCUUGGGCCAGAGGACUGGCGACCACACUCCUGGGACUAUGGAUGGUCCUUCUGUCUGGCCUGGGGCUCCUUCACCUGCUGCAUGGCAGCCUCUGUCACCACCCUCAACUCCUACACCAAGACUGUCAUUGAGUUCAGGCACAAGCGCAAAAUCUUUGAGCAGGGCUUUCGAGAAGAGCAGAACUUCCUAGACCAGGAAGCCAUCAAGUACUUCAGAGAAAGGACUGAGGAGGAGAGGGCUGAGGCUGGGGACCUGAGGUUACAGUGCCUCCAUAGCUGCUCCCCAAAUAGGCUUCACAACACCCAGCUCUAAGUGUCACUAGCCCGCAGAGGAACAGGAGUGACCAUAAUGCUCAGAAAAUCCCCCCAUUCGCUACGUCAAGCUCUUCCAGCGACACAUCAAGCAGCUCUUCACUUUCAUCAGAACCAACCAGCCAGAUCUCCAUGGUUCAGGAUCAAACCCUGCUGGACAUCACCUCCAUCACUAGAUUGGCCCCAGGGGAAUCACCAAACCCUCAACCACUUGAGCAAAGAGAUACAAAUUUAGCAAUAUCGUGUUCCAGCCCACUCGGAGCAAGGACUAUUCCAGCAUCUUGCCCAGCCAGCCUCAGGCUCAGUCUAACACCCAGCUCAGCCAAGCCACAGCAAUACUCUGACUGCUCUCCAGUCAGCCCAGGGAUCAAUGCAGCUUCCUUCUCCACCUUCUGUCCUCACUCAGCACAAAACGUCCGAGCUUCAGCUUCAGAUCACACACUGACCCCAACCAGGACAAGCACAAGGCCUCCAGCAACAGCGACUCCUGAAGAGAGUUCCCAGGCUCCUGGCUAUUCUAAAACUGAAUUAAAGAAUACAGGAAAGGGGUUUGAAUCAGAUCUGGAAGAUCCUGAUCACGAGAGGAGAUUUGUAACCACACAGGAAUUCCAAGCCAUGGAGAAAGAACUAGAGGAUGUAAAGGAAGACCUGAAAUGCCUGAAGUGGAAGGUGAGACACAUAGGUGAGACGGUGCAGCCCCUGGCCGAGGACAGCAAGAGGUACAACGGCUACACCCUGAUGGAGCUCAAGGCCAUGGUGCAGUUUGAGGAUGACCCUUACAAGGCUGCCCACAAGAUCCUCACUGCCCUCUUCAGUGAUGUCUACUGGCCACAGCACCCAGGCACCGAGCAGGCCUGCAACUCCUGCUCCCUGCCCAAGCCCAACAUAGACCCAGAGCUGUACACGGUCUACUGUGACAUCCUGAAAAGCAUAUUCCCUGGAAUUAGCAGCCAGACAUUGAGGGAAGAGACACAGCACGUGCAGAAAGGCACCCAGAGUGCAGUGCAGUAACAG